GGGAGGAUUCAGCCGGCCGCCCGCCGGUGUACUUCUUCCCGAUGGGUCAACAUCAGUCCUGGCCGGGGGAUAAGGAUGGCGGGAAGGUAGCACCCUCGGGUGUGUUAUAGCCCGCCGUCGCAUACGUCGGCCGGGACUGAGGAAUGCAGCUCGCCUUCAUGGCCGGGGUUCGCCCACGUCCGAGCUUAGGAUGUUGACGUAAUGGCUUUAAACGACCCGUCUUGAAACACGGACCAAGGAGUCUAACAUACCUGCGAGUGUUUGGGUGUCAAACCCGGGCGCGCAAUGAAAGUGAACGUAGGAGGGAUCCGCAAGGAGCACCUUCGACCGAUCUGGAUCUUCUGUGAUGGAUUUGAGUAAGAGCAUGUAUGCUGGGACCCGAAAGAUGGUGAACUAUGCCUGAAUAGGGCGAAGCCAGGGGAAACUCUGGUGGAGGCUCGUAGCGAUUCUGACGUGCAAAUCGAUCGUCAAAUUUGGGUAUAGGGGCGAAAGACUAAUCGAACCAUCUAGUAGCUGGUU
rnacentral:rRNA from 1 species